UUCGACUGUUUACCAAAAACAUAGCCGUAUUCAAAUUUAUGGGGUGUUACCUGCUCAGUGGGCCGCAAUUUAAUAUAGCUAAUUAUUAUAUAAAGUCGCCUAAACAGCCGGGGUAAUCCUAGACCCUGCUAAGUAAGCAUAAUCGGAUGCCCUUUAAAUGGGGGAGUGUUGAAUGGACAAACGAAGGUAUAACUGUCUUAAAUGAAAGUAAAUUGAAUUAGGAAUAAUAGUGAAGAUACUAUUAAAAAUAGUAGGACGAAAAGACCCUAUGAAGCUUAACUAUAAAUUCAUCAGACAAGAGGUUAUAUUAGAUUAAUAUUAAUAGUGAAAGCAGUUUAUAUACUUCACCUCAGUCAUAGUGGUUAAUUUGGUAGUUUUGGUGGGGUGCCAGCAUGGUAAAAAUAACCUAGAGUUCACAUAUGUAAAAUAUAAUUUACUGGUGUAGAAAACUAUCUUACACAGUUACAAAAGUAGGUAAAAUGACCCUACCCGUUAAAAUUUAUUUAUGGGUAGACAAAGAAUAAAAGCUACUCUAGGGAUAACAGGGCAAUUGAUCUCUUGAGUCUUAUCGGGGGGUCUGUUUGCUACCUCGAUGUUGAAUUAACCUUACCUGGUAGACUAGAAGCGACCAAAGGUGGGACUGUUCGUCCCCUAAGAGGUUACAUGAUUUGAGUUCAUUCCGUA
rnacentral:rRNA from 1 species